rnacentral:rRNA from 2 species
UUAAAUUGAAGAGUUUGAUCAUGGCUCAGAUUGAACGCUGGCGGCAGGCCUAACACAUGCAAGUCGAACGGUAACAGGAAGCAGCUUGCUGUUUCGCUGACGAGUGGCGGACGGGUGAGUAAUGUCUGGGAAACUGCCUGAUGGAGGGGGAUAACUACUGGAAACGGUGGCUAAUACCGCAUAACGUCGCAAGACCAAAGAGGGGGACCUUCGGGCCUC